rnacentral:lncRNA from 1 species
CUUCUAGGGAGACCCGCUGCGCCAGAAACAGAGCCUUGGAGGACGAGAGGAUCGUGAGGUCUCCGGACCCAGCCCCGAAAGCCGGAGGUCCCUUCCCCUUUGGCGGAGCGGAGCUUGGGGCCGGCCUGGUGGUGCAGCGGUUAAGUUCGCACGUUCCACUUCUUGGCGGCCUGGGGUUCACCGGUUUGGAUCCCGGGUGCGGACAUGGCACCACUUGGCAAAAGCCAUGCUGUGGAGCUGCGGCUGCCGCUGCCCAGCGUCACGCGAGAGGAUCAGACUGCAUAUCGCCAGCCCAAGAAAACGUCAAAAUUCAAAAUACGAAGUAUGGUUUCUACUAAAUGCGUAUUGCUUUUGCACCAUCGUUAAGUUGAAAAAUGGCAGGAGUGUGCACUUCUCAUCUUCCACCAUCUUUCCUGCUGGCUGCAGAAGUUAUGUCUGGCGCUAGAGCAGUCAUCUUGGACCAUGAGGUAGAAGCCAUGCACUGAAGAUGAAGAAACCACAGAGAAGGCACCUGGUUUAUUUGUCUAUACCCAGGCUAAAAGGACACUAUCCUAAUUACUGUUGCUUUAAAAUAAACCACGAUAGCUGCUAGGGCAAGUAUUCCCAUUUUAUUUUCCUCCUUUAACAGUGUCUGGGCUACUCUUGGUCCUUUGAACUACUGGAAUUUUAAAUCUGUCAACUGUGGUAAAGUGAAGAUGGUCAUAAAUUCUCUGACACUCCUCCUAUUGAGAGGUGGUCUAUUUGCCUUUCCCUUGAAUCUGGCUGGUCUUAGUGACUUAUGGUGGAAGCGGUGCUGUGUGACUUCUGAAACUGGGUCAGAAGAUGCCUUUCAGCUUCCACCUUGGUCUCUUGGAAAGCUCACUCUCCAGACACUCUCUCAAAUGACUCCCUCUCGGGUUACUCCCUCACCAUCCUGUGAGAUGUCCAGGUCACAUAGACAGGCCAUUUGUAGACGCUAUAAUUGACAGCUCCAGCUGUGUUUCUAGCCUCCAGCCAGAUUCAACAGCAUCAUGUGAGGGCGCCAUCUUAGACAGCCAGCCUUCAGAUGACUCCAGUCCUGUAGUCAACACCUGUCUGCAACCACAUUAGACGCUCUAAGAAAGGAUUAUCCAGCUGACCCCUUCCUGGAUUCCUAACCCACAAAAUUGUGAGCAAAAUAAAAUGAUUUUUAAGCCACUAAGUUUGGGGGUAGUUUGUUAUGCAGCAAUAGAUAACCAGAUUAUCAAAUUCUACUAAAAAAAAAGUGUUGAGAUUUGAUCAAGAUGCCAUUGAAUCUGUAGAUCGAGUUGAAGAAAACUGACACCUUUAUAAUAUUGAAUCUUUGAAUCCUUAACAUGGUAUAUCUUCUGUUUAUUUAGAUGUUCUUUAAUGCCUCUCUGUUUUAUAAUUUUCUCCCGAAAAGUCUGUGCUCGAGGCUUAUUGUGC